GCCAAAUAGGUGCCUCGAGGGA
rnacentral:siRNA from 1 species